CAGCAGCCGCGGGAACACGUAGGUGGCAAGCGUUGUCCGGAAUUAUUGGGCGUAAAGGGCUCGCAGGCGGUUUCUUAAGUCUGAUGUGAAAGCCCCCGGCUCAACCGGGGGGGGUCAUUGGAAACUGGGAAACUUGAGUGCAGAAGAGGAGAGUGGAAUUCCACGUGUAGCGGUGAAAUGCGUAGAGAUGUGGAGGAACACCAGUGGCGAAGGCGACUCUCUGGUCUGUAACUGACGCUGAGGAGCGAAAGCGUGGGGAGCGAACAGGAUUAGAUACCCCUGUAGUCCCUGUCUCUUAUAC
rnacentral:rRNA from 1 species